rnacentral:rRNA from 1 species
AACGCUAGCUACAGGCUUAACACAUGCAAGUCGAGGGGCAGCAUGAAUUUAGCUUGCUAAAUUUGAUGGCGACCGGCGCACGGGUGAGUAACGCGUAUCCAACCUUCCCCUGUCCACGGGAUAGCCCGUCGAAAGGCGGAUUAAUACCGUAUGAGGUCACACGAUGGCAUCAGACUGUGACGAAAGAUUUAUCGGUGAUGGAUGGGGAUGCGUCUGAUUAGCUUGUUGGCGGGGUAACGGCCCACCAAGGCGACGAUCAGUAGGGGUUCUGAGAGGAAGGUCCCCCACAUUGGAACUGAGACACGGUCCAAACUCCUACGGGAGGCAGCAGUGAGGAAUAUUGGUCAAUGGGCGAGAGCCUGAACCAGCCAAGUAGCGUGAGGGACGACGGCCCUAUGGGUUGUAAACCUCUUUUAUGCGGGGAUAACCGGCGCCACGCGUGGCGUCCUGCAGGUACCGCAUGAAUAAGGACCGGCUAAUUCCGUGCCAGCAGCCGCGGUAAUACGGAAGGUCCGGGCGUUAUCCGGAUUUAUUGGGUUUAAAGGGAGCGUAGGCCGGCUUUUAAGCGUGUUGUGAAAUGCCGCGGCUCAACCGUGGCACUGCAGCGCGAACUGGAGGCCUUGAGUGCGCGGGAGGUAGGCGGAAUUCGUGGUGUAGCGGUGAAAUGCUUAGAUAUCACGAAGAACUCCGAUUG